rnacentral:lncRNA from 1 species
UGCGGAAAGGAUGUUGGCGGUCCCUGUGACCUGUGGAGACACGGCCAGAUCUGCCCUCCAGCCUGAUCUUUUGGCCAGAAGGAGAUUAAAAAGAUGCCCCUCAAGAUGGCUGUGCCUGUCAGCUGCAUGGAGCUUCGUUCAAGUAUUUUCUGAGCCUGAUGGAUUUACAGUGAUCUUCAGUGGUCUGGGGAAUAACGCUGGUGGAACCAUGCACUGGAAUGACACACGCCCGGCACAUUUCAGGAUACUAAAAGUGGUUUUAAGGGAGGCUGUGGCUGAAUGCCUCAUGGAUUCUUACAGCUUGGAUGUCCAUGGGGGACGAAGGACUGCAGCUGGCUGAGAGGGUUGAGAUCUCUGUUUACUUAGAUCUCUGCCAACUUCCUUUGGGUCUCCCUAUGGAAUGUAAGACCCCGACUCUUCCUGGUGAAGCAUCUGAUGCACGUUCCAUCCGGCGCUCAGCUGGGCUUGAGAAUCCUGUUACACCUGGGAUUUAGGCACUUUCAAUCUGAAAAAAUACAUAUCCUUUCAGCACUCUGGACGGACUUGAGAACUGUCCUUACGUGACCUAAAGCUGGAGUAUUUUGAGAUUGGAGAAUUAAGGCCAACAGAGAUUUUGAGAAACACAUUGAAGGAUCUGUUAACACUUGAUAUACCCAAUAAAAGCAGUGGUUGUGCCAGUGCUGAUCUGUCUUGAUGUGAAUGUGAACAAUGGGAACCUGAGCUGAGCAGUUAAUGCUAGGGUGACAGAAACUGGACCUCUCCCAAGACAUGUGACAGAGUAAUACAGCAGCCAACUUCUUCGCCAAAUUAAAGUUUUACAAGAUUUAACCUGUCAUCAAGACCUGGGAUUUUGGUGAAGGACAGAAUAACGGGCUCCCAGAUUCACAAGCCCCACCAAGAGGAUCACCCCAGGAACGCUUGGAGGCUGAGGAGUUCACUGAGGCUACUGCAUCUUGAGACUCAGGAUGAAGACCCAGCUUGGGGCUGUCAAAGGUUUUUUGCAUGUCUGACACCCAUGACUCCACCUGGACCUUAUGGCUCCACCCAGAAGCAAUUCAGCCCAACAGGAGGACAGCUUCAACCCAUUACGAUUUCAUCUCUGCCCCAACCACUCAGCAGCAAGCACCUGUUACCUGUCCACCCCCACCCCUUCCCCCAAACUGCCUUUGAAAAAUCCCUAACCUAUGAGCUUUGAAUAAGAUGAGUACGAACUUCAUCGCCCACGUGGCGUGGCCGGCCUCGUGUCUAUUAAAUUCUUUUUCUACUACA